UUGAAAUGAGAGUCUGUCAUGAAUAGUGCUGAAUAGCAAAGCAGACUUCAAGAUUUUCUCAGUUCUACUCUGCUCUGAUACUGGUAUCCAUGUAAGCCUGGAUAAUCCAUCUGCUUAUUCAUCCCUUCCUGUAAAAGCAUUGCCUGGAUAUCUUUGAAACUGUGAUAGGAAUGAGAAAGAGUUCUCAUGCCUCAGCCAUACUUCCAGAAUACCACAGGAGCUCUGUAAAUUUUCUAACCUGAAGUCAUAUCUCACAAGCAAAUAAGAAGUAAACGGUGAGAAAAAUAUGAAGAGUUCAAAAACUAUUAAGUAAAUUCAUAGAAGAAUCGUCCAUAUAUUAAACAUGGUGCUGUGUCUGUAGCCUCCGGAGUGGGAAGUCUCAGAACCACCAUCAACCAGAUACUGGAGCCAGGGAGAAAUAUUCACUGCUUUCCAUACUCUAUCUCUAAUCAUUUAUCACAAGCCGUGAAGAGCAACAGAAGACCUUUAUCCUGGCCUAGUAUGAUGGUUUUUACAUAAGGGAUGGGUUGUGGAAAAGUUUUGCUAGAAAGGUAUGAAAGUCCUGAUUUCAAAUGCACAGCAGUCAACAGCAAGAAUCCCAUCUGUGCCCACGGCUUUGACACAGACCUAGACCUUCCUUACCAGCCCUGAAUUGCCAUCCCCUGUCUGGAGGCACAGGAGGAACAACUGCCCUAUCCACCAUUAAGUUUCACCACAGACUUUGAAAGAGGCUUAAGAUGCUUAUGGACCUUCCUUCCACAGGUCGUUCCUGCUGGCUGGAUUUCACCCAACAGGAGAAGUUGCCAUGCCAGCAGUGCUCAGCACACAUGGGAUAUAACAUCAAGUGGAAUGACCUUCAGAAGACGUCUCUCUCUCAUGCACUCCCAAAGCAUUAUGCUUUUUCAGCACCUGUGAAGAGAGGAUAAGUUAAAGUAGGCUUCAGCAUUUAAAGUUUAACAUAAUGGAGCAGUUUAUUUUCACAGUCUGAUCAUUUUCCAGCUGGCUUUCUGACAUUCUUCAGUUUUAUUCUUUGUGCCUACCUCAUCUAAGGUAUUUACUUUACAGAAGUAUCACACAGACUGUAUGUGUAUUUGGUUCAAACAGGCAGAGGAACGUAGUUUCAUAAGCCUUUACUCCCGUACUUACUCACAGAGCAAUAGACAUCCAGAGCUAUCAUAGAAAAAAUGAUACUAUAUUUUGGAAGGAAACUGUCUCAUUUUACUUCCAUCUGCUUUAAGUAUUUUUAAUAAACCUCUUGCCAUAAUAUCUGAGUGUUAAUAAGUACAAACUAAGUUUCACUUAGAGAGAGAGACUAUUUCACUACAGAGACCAGUGUAAAGAGCUCCUGUACUUUUAAAUAUUUUUUGUAAGGAAUUUAUUUAUUUAUUUUAAAUAUUAUUCUUUGAUCAUGACUUUAAACUUUAUCAACAAACUGAAAUCUGGAAGCUUCCUUCUAUGCCAAAGCCUAAGAUGCCAGGAAUUUGCUAAAGAUAGAAGUGCUAUAGCUUUAAGAUAAGCAUCAAUCAUUUCAUAGUUUAGAAAGAAAAACCAAAGUUUUCUGUAAACUCUGUAAACAGCCCUGUAAACACACUCUAUAAACAGCUCAGCUUCGAAAUCCAUCAAAAUAUCAACCUCCUUCUAUCGGAAAGAGCAUUCCUGAGCACUGUGCAGCUAUGCCUUGAAGCAGAGACUGUCCCACUUUGUUAACUAUACCACCAAGCCAAGUUCUCCUCUACAAAUGAGCAGACAAGGACUUUUUGAAAACAACUGAAGAUUUUACAAGGUAUUUGGCAAUAUACCCUAACAUAUCAAAUUGUUUUUCUUCUUGGAGGGUCCAAAACAGCAUUAUACUUAAUUUGGAAUUUAGGCUAUCAUACAUUGAGGCUUUGUAUGCUGACAUUUUCUUAGUGAACACUUUCUUCUACUUGAACUCUUGCCUAAGAUUUUGCGUUUUAUAAGACAAACCUGUUCAGCCUGCAUGCUCUGAGCACUACAUCUCCUCCUGUACAGAAAUGCCAGGGUUUACAAUCAGUAGACGCAGAGCUGAGUUUGGAUGCUACAGCUUCAGCAGUUCAUUCUCCUCUUUCCUUCGUUGCCAUUCCUGUGUCUGGUCAUGCAUCGCUAAGGCAUAGUCCCCAGCCCCAGAUCUCUUGAGCUUUCCAUCUCUCACUCGUGAGGAGCCAUGCUGGUUUGCAUCUCCUUUUUCACCUCCACUCACCCCCUCUGUAAAUUGUGGCAUCCUUUUGUUUUUUGAUCAUCAGGAAUACGGUAACCUUGGCAGAAAUCACUUUAAUCAUAUUUUUCCUUCAAAAAAAUUCUUUACUGAAACUUCAAACAAAUGUUUUAUGAGAAAUUUCUGACAAAGUCAAUGCAGACUGCUUUUCAAAGUAUCUUUUUCUUUGAAAAAAGUCUUAAAAAGCAUCAAAAUAAAAUGUAUAAAAGCAUUCAUGCUUAUCUGUUUGGUUUGCAUAAUCAAGCUCACUUCAGGAAAAAAGGUAAUAUCCUCUAAUUUCCUGUAAACCCGGAAAGAUUUUUUUUAAUUCUUUUAAACCAGUAGAUUGCAUAUGAAAUCUAAAAAAUGUAAUCUUUUUUAAUGAACAAUUUAACAAUCAUAGUGAUUAAUAAAAAGUCAUUUUGUGGAAUUUAUUUUGGGCGUUUUUUAUUCAUCAGAUCUAUGUUUUUGCACACUGUGUGAAAGGAAAAGCAUCUUUAGUUCUAAAUCAAUUUUACGAGAUUAAGGACAGCUGUUCAAUUUUCUUCUGUUUAUUUAUAUCAGAAUGAUUGUGUCAAUACCCACCCCUCUGAGUUAAAAUAUGCCAAAGACUUUCAGUUUCAUUCUUUGGCAAGCAGGGUUGGUUUCCAAUGAUGCUUUUUUUUACUUCUAACCCCAUAUUUCUUUUUCUUUCCCCUUCAUUUUUGUUGUUAUUAUCUGCACAAUACGGACCAAUUUUCUAUUUUCCUUCUGAAGAAGUCUAUAACCACAAGUGAAAACUCUUUAUUUCCUAAUAAUGAAGUUAUCAAACAUGAGUUUAUCAGUUUAUAGAAGACUUAUGAGUCAUAAACUGUGAGGACUCCCUCCUAAAAAUAUCUUAUUUACAUACUUAUAGUAUAAUGCUGGUAAAGAAAGUCAGUGAGAAAGGAAAUAGGCAACAUUUGCAAAGAAAAUUUCAGAACUGAGAUUGAAGCAGCAAAUUUUUAAACUCAGAAUUAAUUGCCUCCACCCGUGGAUUCAAACACCCUAUACUGCAUGAUGUGAAAAAGGGAUUUUGAAAUGCUUCCUACUUUUCAAAAUGGGUAUAUAUCUUCAGGUACUAUGGUCACAGUUAAUUUAAUUUUUGUUCAGGCACUAUAACUACAAAAAAGUGCUCCUGCAACACACUAUUAGCAUUUUUUAACUAACAGAGAUUCUUAAAAUAGAAUAAUUAGUUCCCAUUUACAGUAGAACAUACAUUAUAUCUUCACUCAGAAAUGCAGUUUAAUUAAUCUAGAGUUAUAAUCUCUCUGGUCUUCCAACCUUUUUUAAAUGUUUUUGAACCUUUUUCUCUAGGCAAACAAGCUAGUUAUGAGCUGGAAAUUAAUUUUAUACAUUUGGUCUUAUCCGUUUCUUUGAAAGCUAGUUCCCCAUUUGUCUCAGCUUAGUGAAAUUGCCAUGCAAUUAAACAAUGAAAACUAAGCCUGUUUGGCCUAAAUGAAAAGAAAUGACAAGUAGGGAAAAACAUCUGAAGAACUGAUCAGAUGUGGAUUAAUGAGCACACAUUUCCUUUUUCCAUUUUGGUAAUAGCAGACUAAUUAAAAUGAUGCACUAACUUUUAUUCAAACAAUAACACAUCACAAUAACACUAUUAUUCCUGAUUUGGUAAAGCCAGUUAUGAUGAUUAUACCAACUGAUUUCUGUCAGAAAAUAUUUUAAGAACUUGAAGUUGGAUCAUUAACAGAUUUACUUAUUUAUACAGAAAGGAAAAAAUAUUAUUAUUUCUGUCAAGUGAGACUUUAUUGUAACACUAACCUCCUGGACUUUUCUUACUAGGACAAUGCAUUGCCUCUCUUUCAUAUGCAACAAUUCUGGUUUUUUUCUAACAUAUUUUAUCACUCAUGCAUUUAAAAUGCCAUCCACCAUAUACUCUUUCUUUCCUUUUUCACUUGGAGUUUCAUUCUUGCCACUCAGUGUCUCUGAAAUCUAUAUAGACUAGUUUUGAUAGAGUUUAAAUUUAUAUGAAAGAAACAUACACAAAACAAACUUUUUAGAAGUUUAUGCCUUUGUUUUUUUUUUUUUUUUUUUUUUUAAAGUCAUUCCAUCUUUGCUGUAGAGAUAUGACAUUCUAGUUUUACUUAAGACAUUUCAAAAUGCAAAAAAUGUAAGGGAGCAACUUAAGAACCGUCAGUUUUUGUUGAGUUCUUGGAGUACGUGGUAUACUUGACUUGAGAACUACUCUUUUUCUCAUGAUGUUAGAAGGAGUAAGUUUCAUCAACCAUUGCUGACUCAGGCAUUUAUAACUUCAGUGCCUAUUUUCCUUAAAUUUAGACUGUGUGUGCUUAGUGCUAUCAGCCACAAAACAAGUCAGAUUUAUUGUCCCAUUACUACA